UGGCGGUGAUGAUGAUUAUUAUACCAUCAAACUAUGAAAGCUUUAUAAGCUUGUUGAUGUUACUGAAAUCAUUACUCUCUGAGCCU